UUUAUAAUUUUUUGAAAAUAAUACAAAUAGUAAACCUAUACAAAUUUCGCAUAUCCUAUUUAGUAAUCUGUGGUAGUAUCUGUUUCCCUAACUUGACAUUGGCGUCAUUGGCGAAUGGCUGAACAGCCAAGCCAGUUAAAAAAAAAAAAACUGUGGUAAUCUGUGGCAUCACAUCCAUAACCGCUUUCUAAGUUUUUGAUAAAGUUUGUUUUGUUAUAAAGACUAAGAAGUUUUUUGUUUGUUAAUUACGGUUUUAACAAUGCCACCAACCAGACGUACAAAUUUAGGCCGCAGAACUCAAAAUACGGCAAGUCAAAGAAAUCUACGAGCAAAUCAAACUGAUGAGCAACGCGAAGCGCGAAA